UGGGGAAUAUUGGACAAUGGGCGAAAGCCUGAUCCAGCCAUGCCGCGUGUGUGAAGAAGGUCUUCGGAUUGUAAAGCACUUUAAGUUGGGAGGAAGGGCAGUAAGCGAAUACCUUGCUGUUUUGACGUUACCGACAGAAUAAGCACCGGCUAACUCUGUGCCAGCAGCCGCGGUAAUACAGAGGGUGCAAGCGUUAAUCGGAAUUACUGGGCGUAUAGCGCGCGUAGGUGGUUCGUUAAGUUGAAUGUGAAAGCCCCGGGCUCAACCUGGGAACUGCAUCCAAAACUGGCGAGCUAGAGUAGGGCAGAGGGUGGUGGAAGUUCCUGUGUAGCGGUGAAAUGCGUAGAUAUAGGAAGGAACACCAGUGGCGAAGGCGACCACCUGGGAUCAUACUGACACUGAGGUGCGAAAGCGUGGGGAGCAAACAGG
rnacentral:rRNA from 1 species